rnacentral:rRNA from 1 species
GACGAACGCUGGCGGCGUGCCUAAUACAUGCAAGUAGAGCGCACAGUUUAUACCGUAGCUUGCUACACCAUAGACUGUGAGUUGCGAACGGGUGAGUAACGCGUAGGUAACCUGCCUGGUAGCGGGGGAUAACUAUUGGAAACGAUAGCUAAUACCGCAUAAUAUUAAUUAUUGCAUGAUAAUUAAUUGAAAGGUGCAAUUGCACCACUACCAGAUGGACCUGCGUUGUAUUAGCUAGUAGGUGAGGUAACGGCUCACCUAGGCGACGAUACAUAGCCGACCUGAGAGGGUGAUCGGCCACACUGGGACUGAGACACGGCCCAGACUCCUACGGGAGGCAGCAGUAGGGAAUCUUCGGCAAUGGACGAAAGUCUGACCGAGCAACGCCGCGUGAGUGAAGAAGGGUUUCGGAUCGUAAAGAUCUGUUGUAAGAGAAGAACGGGGGUGAGAGUGGAAAGUUCACACUGUGACGGUAUCUUACCAGAAAGGGACGGCUAACUACGUG